rnacentral:rRNA from 1 species
UAUUUAAAGUUUUAUUAUGAGAAGAUUUUUAAAAGAAAUUAAUGGUUUGAGUAGUGUAUUUGAAAGGAUUAUUUUUUAUUAUAGAUUAUUAGUACGGUGAAGGAAUAUUUAAAAUUUUUAAAAGAAUACUUUAUUUGUGGUACCUUUUGUAUCAGGGCUUAUUAAAAAGAAGCCUGGGUUUAGGUUUUCUCGAAUUUAUAGGAGCUAAGAGUAUAUAUAUAUUAAUGUUGAACAAUUAUUUAUAAUAUUUUCUUUGGUAUUAGACGUUAGUCGUCUUUAAAUAUAUCUAGUUUUUUAGGAAAUUAAUUUAAUUAAGUUAAUUUGUAGGAGGGUUUUAAUAAGAAAUUGAUCUGUGAAUUAAGUAAUGUUUAGGGGGAUAAGCUUUUAAACAAAUUUCUAUAAUUAUAAAUUUACUGAAAAUUGAAUAGGAAUAGAAGUUUUCAUUUUUUGUAGUGUUUUACAGCAAGAUUUUUGUUGAGGUAAUUUUUUAUUUUUUUUAGGUUUUUUACUAAAAUAUUAGAUGGAGUAAAUAUUUCUAAGUGAUAAUGAUGAGAUUAGUAUAGUUUAUUGUUUUUAAUAUGAGUGUAUGUAAGGUUUAAUUAAGUAACUCGGCAAAUUUAUUUUCUGCCUGUUUAUUAAAAACAUGGCCUUUUGGGAAUAAUUUAAGGUCCGACCUGCCCAAUGAUUAAAUUAAAUGGCCGCGGUACUCUGACCGUGCAAAGGUAGCAUAAUCAUUAGUUUUUUAAUUGAAAGCUUGUAUGAACGGUCAAACAAGAAAAUUACUGUCUCGAUUAAAUGGUUUUGGAAUUUUAUUUUUUAGUAAGAAAGCUAAAAUGUUUUUAUGGGACGAGAAGACCCUAUAGAAUUUUAUAAAUUUUCUAGGAUUAUAUUUUUGGUUUAAUUAUUUUGGUUUAGGGAAAUUUAUUUUGUUGGGGUGAUGGAAAAAUUUGAUAAACUUUUUUUUUAUAUAUUUCACUUAUGCGUGUUUAUGUGAUCCAUUUUUUGUGAUUAUAAGAUUAAAUUACCUUAGGGAUAACAGCGUUAUUAAUUUGGAGAGUUCUUAUCGAUAAAUUAGUUUGCGACCUCGAUGUUGGAUUAAAAUAAACUUUUGGCGUAGGGGCUGAAAAGUUAAGUCUGUUCGACUUUUAAAAUUUUACAUGAUCUGAGUUUAAACCGGCGUGAGCCAGGUUGGUUUCUAUCUUUAGAUAGAUUUAAUAUUUUAGUACGAAAGGACCAGAUAUUAGUUUAAGAAAUUAGUUUUAGGAUAUUAUU